GAUGAACGCUGGCGGCGUGCCUAAUACAUGCAAGUCGAGCGAACAGACGCGGCUCUUGCUCCUCUGACGUUAGCGGCGGACGGGUGAGUAACACGUGGAUAACCUACCUAUAAGACUGGGAUAACUUCGGGAAACCGGCGCUAAUCCCGGAUAAUCUAUUGAACCGCAUGGUUCAUUGGUGAAAUACGGUUUUGCUGUCUCUUAUCGAUGGCUCCGCGCCGCAUUAUCUAGUUGGUAAGGUAACGGCUUACCAAGGCAACCAUGCGUGGCCGACCUGUGAGAGUGGUAGCCGACACGAGAAGUGAGACACGGUCAAGACUACUGAGAGAGGCAGCAGAAGGGAAUCGGCCGCAAUAGGCGAAAGCAUGACGGAGUAACGGCGCGCCAGUGAUAAAGAUCUUCGGAGCGUAAAAAUCUGUUAUUAGGGAAAAACAAAUGUGUAAGGAACUAUGCACGUCGUGACGGUACCGAAUCAGAAAGCAACGGCUAACUACGUG
rnacentral:rRNA from 1 species